rnacentral:sRNA from 1 species
UCCUACCAGAGACUGGUGAGGGCUGAGCAGGGCCUGCCCAUCAGGAGUCACCGCAGCUCCACCGUCACCGUGCUGCUGCUGAACCCAGUGGAAGUGCAGGCCGAGUUCCUUGCUGUAGCCAAUAAGCUGAGUACGCCCGGACACUCGCCUCACAGUGCCUACACCACCCUGCUCCUGCACGCCUUCCAGGCCACCUUUGGGGCCCACUGUGACGUCCCGGGCCUGCACUGCAGGCUACAGACACUGCAAAACCAGGGAAGCUCCAUACCAUCCCCAUCCCUGUCGCCCGGUGCUACACCUACAGCUGGAGCCAGGACAGCUUUGACAUCCUGCAGGAAAUCCUGCUCAAGGAACAGGAGCUGCUCCAGCCAGGGAUCCUGGGAGAUGAUGAAG